rnacentral:tRNA from 1 species
GCUGUGGGCUCAGUGGCAGAGCUCCUGCUUUGUAUGCAGAAGGUCCCAGGUUCGAUUCUUGGCAUCUCCA